GAUGAACGCUGGCGGCGUGCCUAAUACAUGCAAGUCGAGCGAACGGACGAGAAGCUUGCUUUUCUGAUGUUAGCGGCGGACGGGUGAGUAACACGUGGAUAACCUACCUAUAAGACUGGGAUAACUUCGGGAAACCGGCGCUAAUACCGGAUAAUAUUUUGAACCGCAUGGUUCAAAAGUGAAAGACGGUCUUGCUGUCACUUAUAGAUGGAUCCGCGCUGCAUUGGCUAGUUGGUAAGGUAACGGCUUACCAAGGCAACGAUGCAUAGCCGACGGGUGAGAGUGGUCGGCGACAUGGGAGCGUGGCCACGGUCCAGAGUCCUACGGUAGGCAGCAGUAGGGAACCGUCGGCAAUGGGCGAAAGCCUGGCGGAGCAACGCCGCGUGAGAUAUGAAAACCUUCGGAGCGGAAUACUCGGUUAUUAGGGAAGAACAGAUGUGUAAGUAACUGUGCACAUCUUGACGGUACCUAAUCAGAAAGCCACGGCUAACUACGUG
rnacentral:rRNA from 1 species